CUCCAAUUCGUACUUGAUAGAAUUAGAUCGAGGCUUGCUGGUUGGAAAGGCAGGCUCAUGCCGCUGGCGGGCCGACGCGUCCUUGUGCGCUGCAUUCUCUCAGCCAUGCCGACCUUUGUGCUCACAGCCCUGCAGGUGCCCAAGAAGUUAUUCAAGGACAUAGAUAAGUCACGCCGCUGUUUUCUCUGGGCGGGGGAUGAAGAGAUCGUCGAAGGAAAAUGUAAGGUUCGCUGGAGCACAGUGACCACGCUAGAACAACACGGCGGUCUAGGCAUCCCUGGUCUCACUCGGUUUGCCCCGGCGCUGUGGCUACGAUGGCUCUGGCGGUCUUGGAAUCAGCCGAGCAGACCCUGGGUAGGCACUGGCAUGCCUUGCGAUGCCAUAGAUCGAGCUCUCUUUGCGACCUCUACUACGGUGACUAUCGGUGACGGGGCUACUGCCUCUUUCUAG
rnacentral:rRNA from 1 species